UACGAAGGGGGCUAGCGUUGCUCGGAAUCACUGGGCGUAAAGCGCACGUAGGCGGCUUUUUAAGUCAGGGGUGAAAUCCUGGAGCUCAACUCCAGAACUGCCUUUGAUACUGAGAAGCUUGAGUCCGGGAGAGGGAUGCGGAACUCCAGGUGUAGCGGUGAAAUGCGUAGAUAUCUGGAGGAACACCGGUGGCGAAGGCGGCAUCCUGGACCGACACUGACGCUGAGGAGCGAAAGCCAGGGGAGCAAACGGG
rnacentral:rRNA from 1 species